CUUCAAAAGAGAGUAAAAAGAGAUGCUGGUGGUGGAUCGACUGUUUAUAGCUAACGAGGGAGAUGGGCUUUCUUCAGCCUUUGCAGAAAGUAGAGACGCUGCUGGGCCUUCAUGGCUAUAGAGCUGGUGUUGAGAGACCAGAGACAGGUUGUUGGCUCUGCAUCAGACCAUUAACUGCUGCAACUCUGAUCUACACCCCAUUAGCUGCUGCACCUCCUCAGUACUUCAAAAUAUUAUGGACGAUGUGCUUCACUGAGGAGACGUUGUCCUGGUCCUUUACUGUUCACACAGCAGGAGCUGGCAGUGUGAUGGAGUGGAACACACUUCAUUCACCUUCUCCUUUAUAACUUAAUUAAAGUGAGACAUGGUGCAUCAUGGGAUUGCUGCUUGAAGCACUGAGGGUGAUAUUUAUCCGAUUUCCCAAGUGACAUUCCUAAACUGUUUCUUAUUACUUUUAUUAGAGAACUACACCAACAUGAAUGGGAAGAAGUGAUCAAUAUCAAUUUUGCAGUUUUGCCUCAAGAUUGUUGGUUAAGCAUUCAGUCUCUCGCAGAAUCUCUUACAAGGAAAAAUGCAGUUGAAUCCUCACAGAAAAAUCACGUUACAUGAGCUCAUACUGUAUGUUUUACACAAUAACAUGUGAAGAUGCAUUUCACUGUGUUAUCCUCUGAAAGUGCGCAUAUGAAUUCAUGUAGACAAACAUGACAUCAUGUGAACAAUAUGUGCUCAUCUGAAAAAAAGAAGUAUUCAUCUGAGAAAAUCGCAUGUGAUAAAUGAAACUCCAUGCUGUACAUGUGAGCAAAAAAAUUAAUUGUGUGGAAAAAAAAUCUGGAAAAUAUAGGAAUCGUGUGAAAAAUUCACAGGAAUAAUUAAUUGUUAAAAAAAAGUGAAAAUAAAUUAAUCAAGUUGAAAAUCAUGUGAGGAAGAGGGGGGUGAAUAAAAUUUCACAUAUAAAAAUAAAUGAAUUAAAUAGAAAAUCACAUGAAAAUAGUAAACCAUGUAGACAAAUGAAUCAUGUAAACAAACACAUGAAAAAAAAAGAAUCAUAAAAGAUUCACAUGUGAAAAUAAAUGAAUCACUGGAAAAUAAUGAGGGAAUAAACAAAUCAAACAGAAAAUGACAUGCGACGAUGAAUCACAUAAAUUCACAUGUGAGAAUAAUAACCCGUGUGGAGAAAUCACAUUAGAAAAUAAAUGAAUCUUCAGAAAGAUCACACGUGUGAAAAUGUGUGAAACUUGACACGUCUAAAAGCCGCAUGUGUAAAAUAUCAUGUGAAGCUGAUGUGAAUUUUCUGUAAAGGAAGGAUGAAACAAAAACCCCAAAUCACAGGCUGGUUGAUGAACUACUUCCAGUCGAAAGGUCUGUGCGUGUGCCGUAUACGAAUAUGACCGUUAUAAAGCUGUUAUUUGUGGCAGUAGAGUGUAACUGAAUUACAGCCUGAGUGGUCUUUGCUACUGCAGCUAUACUCUGUGCUCAUAUUGUAUCAUAUAAUGUAUCACCAGGAAAUAUGAUGGAUAUAUAAAAAUGCACCACUUUCUAUAUAUUUUUUUACAGAACAUUGUCCAUUUGACCAGCUGGACAGCGUGCCUGCAUUUUUACUAUCUAUGGUGCAAGAAAACAGCCAUAAAUAGUUUCCAGUGCAUCCCAUAAUAGUUUAACGCAUGCAAAGGGGGCACAAUGUAGGUAGACAUGUCCCAAUGUUGCCACAUUCUUUUACAUUCGUGUACAAUCAACAUGUUAGCAGGACAGAUUGAGUAUAUGGCACCACCAAGUGAUCUUUGACCCCAUAGAGCAUGCCCUGAAUCUGGACCAUAAUGGCCAGAAACGUUUUCCCUUCUGCAGGAGCAUCCAUGGUUCUAUCUGAGUCUCUGUGUGACGCUUUAAUGGCUGUAACACAGACCCUCGAGGAACACCAGUUGGUUUAGCAAAGGUCUAGCACACAUUCCUCAUGAAUAAAGGCUCUUGAGUGUACCGCUCCUGCUACAGAACCAGGCCUGGCACUUUUCCUGAAGUGUGUCGCAAUAGAAGCAGGCUGAGAAGAUUCGCUCAUUCUCUAUCCAUGGCCAUAGAUUCCAGCCUCUCCUGAGGGAUCCCCAGACAUUUCUGAGCCAACUCUGAGGUAUAAGCUUGUCCAGUAGGUCCUGGGUCUGGUCCUGGGUCUCUGUCCAGGCGGGCGUGCCUGAUACAGCUCUACAGAGAGCCGACCUGGGGGUCCUUGUUAGACGCCAGAACCACCUCAACUUGUCCUCUCGAUUAUGAGGAGCAGCAGAUUUCUACUCUGAAGGCAUUGUUGAGCUCCUCAUCCUAUAACGCAGAGCAAGUCCAGCAACUCUGCAGAGGAACCUCAUUUCCACCACCUAACGGUAAUUUCCUCUCGACUUGCACAAUCCAAUCCAACCUGUUUAGCCUGUGCUUUCCUACCAGUGGUCAAAAAGCAGCGUAAACAAUCUCGUCCAGGAGCUUAUGAAGGUUGGGACCUUCUCAGGAAGAAAUCAUGUGAGAAGAUUGUCAGGGCUUCAUUUACUUUCAGGAGCUGCUGGAGGGACUGAUGAGAAAUAAUCUGGAGAAGUGGGAGUAGAGGAGAUAUUUUCUUAUGAAACUAAUCUGUCACAACGUAUAUAGCUGCAGAGCAAAGCGAGGCUGCACACUGAGAGCCAGUCGAACCAGAAGUGUGAAGCGAGCUCCUGCUGAGAUCCUACACACUCGAUUCUAAAGAAAUCACAUACAUUCGCUUCUACUGAAAUCAUACACGCAUUAGAAAGCUCAACAAAGGAUGUAUUUCUUACGGCAGCUGGCAGAGUGCCAUCUACCUCAGGCUAUACUGGUGUAACUCUGUACCGUUUUCUAUAUCUGAAAGUCUGCCAUCUCUAUCUGGUUUGGUGCAGCCUCCUCCAGAGAGUAGAGGAAGCCGCAAAGGACUAUCAAGUCCGCUGAGAAAAUCGUCGGCUGCAGUCUGUCAUCACUUGAAGACAUCGCCAGGACAAAGAGGCGAGCAGGAAAAUGCGAUCAAAUAUAACAUUAAACGAGAUGAUUUAAAAAAAAAAAAAGAUUAAUAUGAUGACAUCUGAAUGAGAUGAUUUUGCAAGUGUUGCAAUAAAUCUUUUUGAUCUUUUAUAUAA